AACGAACGCUGGCGGCAGGCUUAACACAUGCAAGUCGAGCGCCCCGCAAGGGGAGCGGCAGACGGGUGAGUAACGCGUGGGAAUCCACCCAUCUCUACGGAAUAACGCAUGGAAACGUGUGCUAAUACCGUAUACGUCCUUCGGGAGAAAGAUUUAUCGGAGAUGGAUGAGCCCGCGUUGGAUUAGCUAGUUGGUGGGGUAAAGGCCUACCAAGGCGACGAUCCAUAGCUGGUCUGAGAGGAUGAUCAGCCACACUGGGACUGAGACACGGCCCAGACUCCUACGGGAGGCAGCAGUGGGGAAUAUUGGACAAUGGGCGCAAGCCUGAUCCAGCCAUGCCGCGUGAGUGAUGAAGGCCCUAGGGUUGUAAAGCUCUUUCACCGGCGAAGAUAAUGACGGUAACCGGAGAAGAAGCCCCGGCUAACUUCGUGCCAGCCGCCGCAGUAAUAC
rnacentral:rRNA from 1 species